GGUGGGCAGAAAGCCCUGCUGGGUUGCCAUCACUGUGCCCACUUCCCAAGGAUAAGAUGGAGGUCGGACAAGUACACUGACUUAUCCCAGGCCCAGCACUGGCACCAGAACUUGGGUCCCCCUGGCCCAGGUCGUGCUCCUUCCCGACACCACCCUGCAGCUGACCAGAGAAGUGUGCAGCCCUGAGGAGGAGCCAAUGAGCAGAAACGGGGUGCAGUCAGGGAGCCCAGGUGACACAAGAGGCCAGAAUCAGGGACCUUUGGGGAAGAAGUACCAGCUCCGGCUUCCCAGGUGCUGAAGGUCCACAUGACCAUCGGAAGGGACACGCCAGGCCUGUGCCACGCAGUGCUUUGAGGGCCCGUGAGUUUAUCCGGGCUUGGAGCAGGGGCGCAUAAUCCUCUAGUAAAGAGGGAGGGCUCUUCCUCACAUGCCUGAAAUCUGCUGCAGAAAGAUGCACGGAGCAAGAAUCUGUUCACACACCACCGUGAACCAUCUCUUCCUCCUGGCCAAACUUUCAGCGUGGCAGUACUUGGCAUUCCCAAAGAAAAACCAGAUAAAACAGAUUCUCUCCUAACUGAUGACAGCAUGGCCACUAUUACAAAGGCCACCUCAGUUCCUCCAGACCAGAGCAGGGAGCAGCAAGAGCCCCAACUGCCAAAAUGAGAUGCCUCCGGCCAUGGGGCAGACAUAGGAGGUGGAGCCAUGGACAAGAGGAACACUGGGACACACCUCCACGAUGCUGGAAAAGACAGAGAAGUUCUGGGCUAAAAAACGGAUCUGAAGUCAUGGAACGAGACCAGCUUCUGCCUGCCCAGAAGAGAGAGACAGGGCAGGUGGAAAGAUGCCCCUGGGUACGCUGGGCAGGAAGGAAUAUGUACCCCCACACUUCCCCAUUGUAUCUACGGCCCCUCCUCUCCAAGGUGCCCAUAAUGAAGGUGGUGAAGAAGAAAGUAAGUACGAGGCCAGCUAACACUAACCUGCACUUACCCACUUCACCUUCAGAGGAUGGUUUGCACGCUUACCCUUCCUACAGGUGAUGCGUCCCAGAGGAGAGACCAAGGCCCAAGAGGUCAGAGACAAAGCCUCCAGCCUGUGCCUCUCCCCACCUCCUCUCACAGAUGGCCUGGGGUUCAGGGCAGUCGGGAGUCCUAUAUGGCCAUCCAAUAGGACAAAGGAGAUCCAUUCUUAUGAUGGGGAAUGUCAAUUACACCAGGGAGUGUGAAAUGCCAGGUGCAAGGCAUCAUGAGCCACAAGUGCAGGGCCAAGUGAGGGAGGGAGCAGAUCACGCAUCACCCUAAUACUCUUCCGGGUGAACAAUCCCCAAGGGUUAACACAGUGGGGUGCGGGAUGGAAAUUUCAGGUGACUUUCACUUGAUUCUUGGAAAUCUUUGUUAAUUCCUCAUACUUCGAACUCUUAAACAGUGAGUAUAUGGUAUUGCUAUGUUAAUAUAAACACAAAACAACAAAGCUAUUUUCAUUUUGAGGAAAAACAAAAAAGGAAGAGAGAAAAGAGAAGGAAACCAGGACACGCAGUGUCAACAGAGACAGGCUCUUUGCCUGUCCAGAGCUCACUGAGGAAUAGCGGGUUUCCAAGAAGUCAGAGCAACUAAGGAACGAAACAAAUAUUCAUCAGCCAGUCUCCUUUCCUGUUGUCACUCAGCCACCAGAUGCCAAGUUGCCGACAAGAUUCUGGAGGCCAAGGGCGCCUGGGUGGCUCAUUUAGUUAAGUGUCUGACUCUUGAUUGUGGCUCAGGUCAUGAACUCACGGUACGUGGGAUCUAGCCCCAUGUCAGGUUCUGUGCUGACACAGAGUGGAGCCUUUCACUUUCUCUCUCCCUUUCUCAAAAUAAGUAAACUUAAAAAACUUGCUGGAGGACAAGCAGUGGCAGCACCACUGAAGAAGGCAGCCGGUAGCCUGUGGCGUGGUGGGGGACUGGGACCAGAAAGCAGAGGCUAGCGCUUUCCCCGGAGUCCAAAUGCCAGGAAACUCUCUGGGGAUGAUGCCAGCAACAUACAAGCAGUAAGGGGAAUCUUGGGGGUGAGACCCACGGUCUUCCCCAGCAGUGCCCAUUUACCCAGAGGAUUGCUCAGCUCCCACACCAGGUACCUUGGUGUUCCUGGAAAGAGCAACAUUCCACAAACGCUCUUGCCUGUCUGUCUGUGGCCCACAAAAACAGCCCCGGGGAGCAGGUGGCCCUAGGCUCUGCUGUGGGACAAAACCAGCAGGGACUAGAACGCAGACCGAGCUUCUCCACCACUGACAAACAUAAUCCCAACCCUUCGGCACCCAGACAACCCCGGCCCCCACCAACCUUGCCAGGGCCCCUCCUCCUGCCCUCACUGGUGCUCCAGCCCCACCAGCCUGCUCAGGGGUCCUGACUUCGAGCUCCAGUCUUCUCUUGCUUCAGGAUCUUUCUGUGACCUCUGGCAUUGAGCUCUUAAUUCAGUUAUUUCUAAUCUCUCUCCGUUUUAAAUAAACUCCUUUAAGGCUACA